ACCUGAUUCCAUGCCGAACUCAGAAGUGAAACACAAUAGCGCCGAUGGUAGUGUGGGGCUUCCCCAUGUGAGAGUAGGACAUCGCCAGGC
rnacentral:rRNA from 4 species